rnacentral:snRNA from 1 species
GUGCUCGCUUUGGCAGCAUAUAUACUAAAACUGGAACAAUCCAGAGAAGAUUAGCACGGCCCCUGAGCAAGGAUGACAUGCAAAUUCCUGAAGCAUUCCAUAUCUUU